rnacentral:rRNA from 1 species
UACGUAGGGGACGAGCGUUGUCCGGAAUUACUGGGCGUAAAGGGCGCGCAGGCUGUAGAUCAAGUCAGCUGUGAAAUGUCUGGGCUUAACCCGGGCAUGCGGUUGAAACUGAUGUACUGGAGUGCUGUAGAGGCAAGUGGAAUUCCCAGUGUAGCGGUGUAAUGCGUAGAUAUUGGGAAGAACACCGGUGACGAAGGCGACUUGCUGGGCAGCAACUGACGCUGAGGCGCGAAAGCCAGGGGAGCAAACGGGAUUAGA